UACGGAGGUGGCUAACGUUGUUCGGAUUCAUUGGGUGUAAAGGGUAUGUAGGCGGUCUUGUAAGUCGGAUGUGAAAUCCUUUGGCUCAACCAAAGAACUGCAUUCGAAACUGCUUGGCUUGAGUUUGGGAGAGGAAAGUGGAAUUCCCGGUGUAAGAGUGAAAUCUGUAGAUAUCGGGAGGAACACCAGUGGCGAAAGCGACUUUCUGGCCCAAAACUGACGCUGAAAUACGAAAGCUAGGGGAGCAAACAGG
rnacentral:rRNA from 1 species